AUGAGGCAACUACAUCAAAACCAUGCUCUCCCGUGGUUGCUGUUAGGCGAUCUCAAUGAAAUUCCGUUUCUCCAUGAAAAAGAGGGUGGAAACCUGCGUCCGGUUCAGUAUAUGAAGGCCUUCCAGGAUGUAAUAGAGGAUUGCCAGCUACAUGAUCUAGGCUUUAUUGGGGACCGAUUUACAUGGUUUAGAGGGAGAAUUCGGGAGAGGUUGGACAGAGCCUUGGUGAAUGAUUCUUGGUCCAAUCUUUUCUCACAAGCUGCUCUUGAAAACUUGGAGUAUAACCAUUCUGAUCACCGUCCAUUGCUAGUGGAUCUUGAGUACUAUAGAGGA
rnacentral:rRNA from 1 species